UCAGCGUCCCAAAUAGCUGGGAUCACAGGCACAUGAAACCAGCACCCCCCCACUACUAGCUAACUUUUAAUUAAAAUUUUUUUUCCAUAUAGAUAGGGCCUCAUUGUGUUGUGGUCUCAAACUCCUGGCCUCAAGUGAUCCUCCUGCCUCAGCCUCCCAAAGUGUUGGGAUUAUAGGCGUGAGCCUCUGUGCCCGGCCUAAAAAAUAAUGUUAAAUAAAAAAAGGUCCCAGCUCGUUUCCUUCUUCUACUUUCCAUGGUAUCCAUUAGUGGAUGCUGUUGACCUACCGCUGCAGCCCCUUCAUGCCCCGGAGAACUGUGGGAGUAGCUCUCUUGCUGUCUGACUGUGGGGUCAAAGGGUCUGCUCACCUUGCUUGUCUUUUUCGGCUUACCUGUCUGCCUCACUAGAUCUGACCUGCAUGCCUUUAUCCAGCUGGGCCUAGUGGCCCUUGAUUUCAGCUAUUUAAGAGGUCAGGGAUCGGUUUCCUUCUGAGAGUAGAGGUGACCUGAGAGGGAAAAGGUGGGCCCCACAGAGAACUCCCCACCUAGGCCACCUCCUCUCUGGCCGAACUGAACUCAGCAGAUGGCAAAGUGCUUGGAGCCACCGGGAGCCAAGGUGCAGAGAAUUCUGUGGAAGGAAGCUGGCUUGGAGCUUGGAAGCCGGGCAGCGAGGGCUGCUGGAACACAGAGGUACCCGCUCAUUUGGCAGGGGUGCCAGUGUGAGAGGAAGCGGGGCUCCUCUGGAAGCUGUGUCAGACAUCCCCCUCCUGCCCCAGGGCUUCUCAGAUGCCCUGGAGAGACCGAUGCCUCCCCAGCAGCCAGUCCAUCUGGGCUGGUGCUCAGGCAGCUCUGGGAGCGAGGAUAUUUUAGAUGUGUCAAAAGAGACGAAUGUUGGAAAGUGCCAUGGGCAUCUCUGGGAGCUCGCAGUUCAUGCUGGCAGCUAAGAUGUGCCAAGCUUUUUGGAAGAAACGGAUUCUGGAGGAAAUUGGGCAGUCUGCUGUCCCAGAUGUGGGUGGCAAUGGGAUGGGCUCUGCCAGAGGACAGAGCCCCAAUGGCAAUAAAGACGGGGCUGGGCUGUAGCAACGCCCGAGGUCUUGGCAGAAGGGAGUGGCAUUCUGACAGGCCAGCAGGGGCAGGAAGGAGCAGGAGCGUGUAGAUUUAGAAGCAGGCAGGGGCCUGAGGUUGGAGUCAGCAGAACUUCCAGCGGGCAGCAGCGGGGGCUGUGGAGCUCUGGCCUGUUCAGUUCCACUAGCCAGGAUGGAACAGGGGCAGCAGCCAGAGCCAGCCUGAGGCUGGAGGUGAGCCCGGGGCCUUCGCCCACAGUGAGGCUGGAACAAGGCUCCGGUGUGUCUGGAUGUGAAAACACCGCAGGGAAUGUGUUACUAGAAUUCAGCGUCUACCCCGAAUAUAAUGCAUCCUAAGCGGAGGGCGCCUUGGCGUUCUGUUUGCAUCAUGGCCCUGGUUAGCGUGUAGUGUCAUUGGUUCUCUGCCUCUGCAGGGAGAUGGUUCAUCCCAAGCUGGGGUUGGAGGAAGCUGAGGCAGUGGCCGGGAUAGGGAGUGUAGGGUCAGGCUUAGGUGAGUCACAGGGAAGGAAGGGAGUCAAAGACAAGGGAUCCUAAAUAUGGACCAGUGGGGUUGUGGGGUGGUGGGGGCACAGGACCCAGCUGGGCAGCCCAGCCUGUCUUCUGCUGCAUGAUGAAUGGGGCUGAGGUAUCAGGGAUGGAUGGAGAAGCUAGCCCCAACUCCACUUGCCCCAGGUGCUUUCUGAUGAUGACACAAACUCUCUUCUAAUUACUGUUCUUCACCACCUCCUGCCUCCCUGCAAACUCCCACAACCAGGAAGGAAAGAAAAAGAGCGAGAGAGAUGACAGAGAGAGCUCCUAGACGUCUUUGUCCUCCUCCCCGUCAUGAUUAUGAUCAUCGUCAUCCAGGCCCCGAGUUCUUAUAUAACCUGCUAAGUUGCUGAGGACUGAACUUGUCUUUCCACCUCCCGCCUCCAGCCAGCUUCUGCUGACUUCCUCAUCCCGCUCACACAUCCCUCUCUUCCAGGCACCGGCUCACCCCCGCUGAGUCAUCUUCCACUCCCCCUUCCUCUUCUUCCCUCCUACUGUCAGCAACUCUCUGCAGCAUGAACGCCCGCAACUGCUCCCCGGGAAAGAUUUGGUACAGCGAGGCACUACCGGGAGGAAGGGGAGAACAGAGGAGGGGCCUGCCCUCUUCACUUCUAACACCCACAGUCCCCUUCAGACGGUCAGGAGCCUCGGGCCACGAACACAGCAACCCUGGCCUCUGUCUGCCCUCUAGGAUGAGCUGCAGAAAGGCACCGACAGACAGCGAUUCUUAUGCUCCACCUUCAAAUGUAAAGAAACGGAUGCUAAGAGCCAGGGCUGCUGAUGCCGAGAAUAACUGUGGAGGAGACGCAGUACAGCACCCCGGUCUCCAGCGAUGAACUGUGUAAUCCAUACCAUGCUAUUCUGUAGAUAUGCAGUCUAUUGAUGAAGAGCUCUGCAAACAGGGGCAGCUCCGAAGCAAUCCUCCGGAGAGAACCUGGAAGGAACUGGAGAAGACAGAGAAAGAUGGCAGGUGAUGAAUCCUAAGUGCAUAGCUCUGUGAGUAUCGUGAGUGUCCAGUGUAGCCAGCACCAAGAUAAAGGCAGAGAACAUUUCUGUUUCUGAGACCUGUCUGCAGGCAACACCACCGCAAGAGGUAACUGUUCUGACCUCCAUCACUGAGAUCAGUUUUGCCUGCUCUUGACCUUCAAGUCAGUAGAUUCAUACAGCAGGUGCUCUUCUGGGCCUGGCCCUUCUCACCCAGCACUAGGGGAGAUUCAUCCGGAUUGUAUGUGCAGAGCCUGCAUCUGAACUCCUCUGCCAUUCUGCCUCUCAUCAUGUUAACGAUUCUAUGUUGCCCUCCAGAAAUGUUUCCUUGGAACGUGGCUUGGGUUUUGCAGAGUUGACUGGGCCUGAAGGAGUGGACUGGGACCACAGAAGCUUAAGUUAGGAGGGUGGCCCGGAAGAGAGCUUUUCAGAGAAUUCUCCGGGGCUGUUCUGUCUCUCACAGCCAAGUUCCAAGGUCCCAGACUCACUGCCAUCAGCACGCGUUGCUCUUUUGAUUUCGUUUCUCCUUUUGCAGAACAAACUUAAUCACUGCUGCUGUCUCAAACUCGUGGACAGCGUUCUCAGGCAUCAUUUCGGGCAGGGGUUUUCACCCGAGGGGUGAGUUUGCUCUGCUGUUAAUCCCCGACCUCGGGACAUUUGGCAUUUGGCAUCAUGGCAAUACCUGGAGAUAUUUUUGGUUGUCAAAACAGGGGGCAAGGAGCGUGCUACUGGCAUCUAGUAGGCAGAGGCCAGAGAUCCUGCUAAACACUCUUCAGUGCACAGGACAGGUUCUCACAGCUGAGAAUUACCCAGCACAAAAUGUCAAGUGUGCCGCCAUCAAGAAACCUUGGUCUUGGGUCAACACAGGAAGUUGGUGGCUGUUCUCUUUUCUGAUACAGUAAGAGAGGAGGCAGAGCAGAAUGAAACGAGCUCUUGACCAGGAGUCAGAGGAUCUGGGUUCAGGGCCCCACUUUGCACGAACUUUGUCUGACCUUGUUAAGACGAUUUAUCCUCCACAAGGCUGAUUUCCUCAUCUGUCACUUGGGAGCUGGGACACCUGCCUUUCUUACUUAUAGGCUUGUUGUCAGAAUCACAAGUGAGAAUGUUAGUGGAAUCUCUGUGAAAUGAUUACAUGUUAUUAUUCUAUUUGUGACAACGAACCAAACUUAUAUGGGUGUUUCUGUGUCUGACGUCAAUGGAGGAAUAGUUUUGGCAGGGUUUCUGUUUCCCCGUGUUCAGUUUCCAGGGUCAUAGCCUCCUUCUCACAUUUGUGUGGGAAAGGAGCUCACAUGCAAAGGGUGUUUCCUGGAACUGUGGGCAGGGCUUCAAACAUCCCUGCAAUUCUCUAAGCCCGCCACUCUCCACACUGAAACUUCUAGAAAUUCUUUUUUAAAUUCUUCUGAGAUCUCCGAUGGGGUUUGCUCCAGAAAAGCAAGGCAUUUCAGCGCUGAAGCUCGGAUUUUAUUUUGUCACUCACAUAAGAGGCUUAGCGCCGUUACCCCUCCUGGGUGAAGAUAUGCAGCAACGUCAGUCUGAUGGAAUACUGUUGAGCUGGAUGUGCUGUGUUACACAGUGGAAAGGGGGCAGGACUCUGUGAGAGGCAAGAGCCCUGGUGCUGUGCAAACUGGCACCGCAGUACCAUUAGGCAUUUGUUUAAACCUUGGAAAAUUUGCCUUGUGAAUACACGGGAGAGUGAGCUGGGCAGCAAACGGCUCUACCCCAACACGGUUGUGGAAGGGAGAGUCAGGAAGGAAUAGUGUGGGACACGGAUAUCUUGUCAUUAUAUUGUAACCAUUAACAACAUAAACCGGCUGGGCGCGGUGGCUCACGCCUGUAAUCCCAGCACUUUGGGAGGCUGAGGCGGGUGGAUCACGAGGUCAAGAGAUCGAGACCAUCCUGGUCAACAAGGUGAAACCCCGUCUCUACUAAAAAUACAAAAAAUUAGCUGGGCAUGGUGGCGCGUGCCUGUCAUCCCAGCUACUCGGGAGGCUGAGGCAGGAGAAUUGCCUGAACCCAGGAGGCGGAGGUUGCGGUGAGCUGAGAUCGCGCCAUUGCACUCCAGCCUGGGUAACAAGAGCGAAACUCCAUCUCAAAAAAAUCAAAAAACAAAAAACAAAACAACAUAAACAGUGUUGUUUGGAAUCAAGGGGCAAAUUUGCGCUACACUAAAGGCUGUUCUGGUCCCAUCUAAGAAAGUUGUUUUUUGGGUUUUUUUUUGAGACGGAGUCUCCCUGUGUUAACUAGGCUGGCGGGCAGUGGCGCAAUGUCAGCUCACUGCGACCUCCGCCUCCUAGGUGCAAACGAUUCUGCUGCCUCAGCCUCUGGAGUAGCUGGGAUUAUAGGCACAUGCCACCAUGCCCAGCUCAUUUUUUGUAUUUUUAGUAGAAAUGGGUUUUCACUGUGUUAGCCAGGAUGGUCUCGAUCUCCUGACCUCAUGAUCUGCCCACCUUGGCAUCCCAAAGUGCUGGGAUUACGGGCAUGAGCCACUGUGCCCAGCUCCUUCUAACAAAGUUUUAAAGCAAGCUUCAAAAAGGUCAAACUGUUUCCAAGUAAUUUAUUUCUUUUCUUUUCUUUUCUUUUUUGAGAUGGAGUUUCGCUCUUGUUACCGAGGCUGGAGUGCAGUGGCGCGAUCUCAGCUCACCGCAACCUCCGCCUCCUGGGUUCAGGCAAUUCUCCUGCCUCAGCCUCCUGAGUAGCUGGGAUUACAGGCACGCACCACCAUGCCCAGCUAAUUUUUUGUAUUUUUAGUAGAGACGGGGUUUCACCAUAUUGACCAGGAUUUAACUGCACCCCAGGACAAAGCUGAAGAACGUUUAAAAUAAUGCAGGAAUAUCCAGCACCAAUUAGGUAAAAUUCACAAUGUCUGGUAUCUAGUCAAAAAUUACCGGGCAUGCAGAGAAGCAGGAAAAUACAACACAUAAUGAAGAGAAAAAUCAAUCAAUCAAAACCAACCUAGAAUUGUUACAGAUGGCAAAAUUAGUCAACAAGAACAUCAAAACAUUUCUUCUAUUUCAUUUGUUCAGGAUGGUAGAAGAGCAUGGAAGCAUGCUGAGAAGAAACAUGGAAGGCAUAGAAGUCUACACUGAACUUCUAGAGAUUGAAAAAACAAUGUCUGAGACUUGAAAUCCAUUGGAUGGGAUGAAUAACAGAUUACACAUUGCAGAAGAAAAGAUUAGUGGACUCGAAGGCCCAGCCGCAGAAACCAUUCAUAUGAAACACAGAGGAAAAAGACGGAAAAUAGGUGAACAGAACAUCAGGGAGCUGUCGGGCAAUUUUAAGAGGCCUCAUAUGCAUGUCAUUGAAGAUUCCAAAGGAGACAAGAAAGAGGCCAGAAAAUAUGCCUAAGGAAAUAAUGCUGGAAUACGGUCUAAAUCUGAUGAAAACACUCAUGUGUAGAUCCGAGAUGAUCAAUGAUCUUGAAGCACAAACAACCUGAGGGAAACAAGGUCCAGAAUAAUCAAAUUGCCGAAAACCAGUGAUAAAAAGAAACUCUUUAGAAAAGCCAGAGUAAAAGGCCCUACUGCACACACAGCAACAAAGAUAAGAAUUCAACAGACAUGGGCCGGGUGCAGUGGCUGAAGCCUGUAAUCCCAGCACUUUGGGAGGCCGAGGCGGGUGGAUCACAAGGUCAAGAGAUUGAGACCAUCCUGGUCAACAUGGUGAAACCCCGUCUCUACUAAAAAUACAAAAAAUUAGCUGGGCAUGGUGGCGCGUGCCUGUAAUCCCAGCUACUCAGGAGGCUGAGGCAGAAGAACUGCCUGAACCCAGGAGGCGGAGGUUGCGGUGAGCCGAGAUUGCGCCAUUGCACUCCAGCCUGGGUAACAAGAGCAAAACUCCGUCUCAGGAAAAAAAAAAAAAAAAAAAAUUCAACAGACCUCUCCCCAGAAAGAAGGUCUACUGGAAGACAGUGGGGCAGCACCUUUAAGGUUCAAGCAGAGAUGCUCAGCAAAUCCCAUUGCCUUGGGCUCCUUGUAUGUUGGUGGAUGUUGGAACAAAAAUCUCAUCCUCAAAGCGUAGCCAGGUGUCAGCAAGAAGCACGGAGCACUGAUAUGUAGUGGUCCGACGAUGAUUACAGCCUCGUGUUUGGACUUGUGAGAGAAUAGACAGGAAGCGAGAUGAAGUAAUGGAAAAUUUCACAGUGAUACCAAGAAGAGAUCCGAGUUCUGGAACACACCGAAUACGUACUUUCCCUUAAAAGUGUCUUCCUGUACUAUCGGUCCCCAGCUCGACGAAUGACAUCCCCAAGCCGUGAACCUUAGGCACCCGUGACCCCUGCAUUUCUCCUGCCCCGUUGCCAGCCAGCUCGCUGAUUUUUCUCGAAAAUGUCUCCAUUUACUUUCUUCCUCUAGAUCUGAGUCAGACCCUCAAAACCUCUCACAAACUCCCUGUUUGACCCUGGGAAAGUUAUAUUACUCCUCUGGGUCUGAGUUUGCCCCUUUAUAGAAUAGGGAUUGGCUGACGGUCUCCAAAGCCCCUUUUUGUUUUUUAAAGUCUGGGUUUCAGAGAUAUUUUGUGAUAUGCAUGUAAAGACCUAUUUUGUAUCACACUAAUGAAGCUUGAUUCUGAUGGGGUUAUAUCCAGAGAGGAGGAGGUUAUAAGUUAUAAAUGUGCCCUGCGCAUAGGAGCUGCUCUAUGGUAUUUGCUGAGUAAAGAAAUGAGAGUUUAGGGCCGGGCGCGGUGGCUCAAGCCUGUAAUCCCAGCACUUUGGGAGGCCGAGGCGGGUGGAUCACGAGAUCGAGACCAUCCUGGUCAACAUGGUGAAACCUUGUCUCUACUAAAAUACAAAAAAUUAGCUGGGCACGGUGGUGCAUGCCUGUAAUCCCAGCUACUCAGGAGGCUGAGGCAGGAGAAUUGCCUGAACCCAGGAGGCGGAGGUUGCGGUGAGCUGAGAUGGCGCCAUUGCACUCCAGCCUGGGUAACAAGAGCGAAACUCUGUCUCCAAAAAAAAAGAAAUGAGAGUUUAAACCAAAGCAAACAAACAAAACCCCAUUCCCGCUGCAGUUAGCUCUGUUCUGUAGAACAGGAUCAGGUUCAUGGCAGGCCGAAUAAGGACCACCUCCACAUUUGUCCACAUCGUAAUCCCUAGAGCCUAGAAUAGGUGACCUGAUAUGGAAAAGGGACUUUGCAGGUGUGAUUCACUUAAGGAUCUUGAGGUGGGGAGAUUACCCUGGUUUCUUUGAACGGGACCAAUGGAAUCACAAGGGUUCUUAUAAGAAAGAGGCAGGAGGGUUAGGAACAGAGAGAGAAUUGGAAGAUGCUGUGCUGCUGGUUUUAAAGAUAGAGGAAGGGGCCGAAAGCCAAGGAAUGCAGGUGGUCUCUAGAAGCUGAAGAAGGCGAGGAAAUGGGUUUUGUCCUUGGAGUCAACACAGUUCUGUUUGACACCUUAAUUUUAGGACUUUUGACUUCCAGAACGGUAGGAUAGUGUCAAUUUAAGUAAUUAAAUUUGUAGUAAUUUUUUACAGAAGCAAUAAGAAACCAAUACACGGCCUUAUUUCUGCAUUAACUGCUUAAUUUUUUUGAGAUGGAAUGUUGCCCAGGCUGAAGUGCUGUGGCAUGACCUUGACUCACUGCGACCUCUGCCCCCUGGGUUCAAGCUAUUCCCUUGCCUCCGCCUCCUGAGUAGCCGGGAUUACAGGCAUGCACCACCAGGCUAAUAUUUGUAUUUUUAGUAGAGACAGGGUUUUUACCAUGUGUGCCUGGCUGGUAUCAAAUUCCUGACUUCAGGAGAUCUGGCUGUGUUGGCCUCCCAAAGUGCUGGGAUUACAGGCGUUGGCCACUGCACCCAGCCUGCAUUCACUUUUUCUACUUACUGGGAAAGGCGUCUAACCUUUCUGAGACUCUGCUCUACUUUAAAUCACAUAGUGUUAAAAAGGUCUUCUAUACGAAGCAAGGGUACAAUGAAAUAGUACAUAAUCCUAGUUGAAAUAAUAUAAAAUACUCCUUUCUACUACUGGUACUGCUAAUGCUCUGCAAAUGCCUUACAGAUAUGGUUUGGCUUUAAUCUCUAAACAUAUGGAGUGGUGAUUGCUAUCACCUUCAACAGACGCUAAAGGAAGACUUAGAAAGGGCCAGAAGCGUGCUCAGCCACACAGCUACGAAGUGGAGGAGCCGGAAUCCCCGUUCCAAACAGGUGUUCUGGCUUUUUCAGUUAGGCCGGCGCUGAUAAACUUGGUGCCGAUGGGGUCUUCUAUGAUGAUGUUUAUUACGGUUCCACUCCGUUCUCAUCCUCUCCUCAUGCCUCUUUCCUGUGACAACAUCCGACUGCUUCACUCAUCGUAGUCCAGCCUGUCACCGGCUCGUCACAGAAAGGAUUGACAUGCCACUAGUUCUGCAUUGCAGCUUUCUUGCUGGGUGAAGUUGGCAAAGGCUGCGGAGAUGUUUGUGUAUCUAAGAGCACAUGGCCGCAAGGUUUGGGAAUGGAAACACCCCUCCCACCGCGCCCAAGAGAAAUGUGCACGGUGAGGGGUUCUGGGGUUCUCAGCCUCUUGUGAGCGGGACAGGGAUGUAGAUGCCAGCUGCCUCGGCAUCUCCAGAAUUCUCAGCUGCACAACAGUGACCUGAGGGGGCUGCUUUGAGGCGGGUGUGGCAUUGCAAUACCUUAUCCUUCUAUUGGAGGGACCCGCUAAAGGUUUAAGUAGUCAGUUUUCCAAUCCUCAUCCUCCUUCUUCCAUUCACCCAUUUCCUCUUCCUUUUUUCCUCCCCUCACCUUUGAUUCUGAAUGUUUCCCUCCAUUGUUCUGCGGUCUGUCUGUUUUUAGGGGGCUGGUUUGGCUAACAGGAGUUAGGACCAAAAGGGCCGGCUCGGCAUGAGCUCUGCUUUCUGCAGCCCGGAGCGAUGGCUUGCUUUGAAGAUUGUUGAGACUAUUGGGAUUAAUAACAGUUGUUCUAAUAUUUUCCCUCAUUUCUGAUCAUCAAAGUGCUCGGAAGGUUUGAGCUGGCGCAGAGUUUCUUCUAGUUUGUCCUUGGGAGCAAGUGUCUGGAACACGGUUGGUUUAAAAAUGUUUUCUGAAGCUUGUUAAUGGGGCAGGCUGCAAAUUUACAUCAAGGGAGUGUCAUCUUUCAAAACAGCUUUUUGGCAGAAGGGGAUGUGGAAUUUUAGAGAAAUCUGAAUCUGUUAAGCUUCCAUUAAAUGAACUCCUUGAUUCCAGGCUGUGCUGAGUGGAAUCUGGGGAACGUAGGCUGUGAAUAAUUGACUUCCUCAGUGGCAGGAUGCCUGAGAAAGGUCAGGCGUCCUUCGGGAGGAGACAUCCAUCAGUUUGGUGGAGGGUUUUUGCUUUUCUGUAUUCCUCUGUGUCUCCUUUUCUAUGUACUUUUAAUUUUUUUCUUUGGUUAAUGCUUUGUGUUUUGCCCAAUAUAAUGGAGAUGAAAGCCUGAGCUUUUGUACUGGGGUCUGGAGGACGUGUGUGGAAUGACCCUCAUUGUCACAGGUCAUCAUUUUAUGGCUGUCAUCCUUCCUCACAUUGACUGUAAGUACCUUGAGGAGAGGGGUUAGGAUUUUACCUUACAUCCCCUUUCCCAGGCUCCACCUUCUUGUUCCGGGGUGCUGUUGCUCAACCCCUAUUUGGCAACUUAUUCCAGGGUGCCUACGUCUGCUGAGGCUCUGACCCUAUGACCAGGCCAGUUUAAGAUGAGUGGGACAGGUGUGAGACUCCAUCUGCCUUCCUGAAAGACUGCUGGAUCUGGAGAUAUUGCCCUGUGGGAUGUGAUCCCUGUGAUACUCUUUUCCAGGUAGCCUCACAGACCCACCCGGCCCGGGCCAUCCUUCUCACUUUCUCAUAUUGCCUCUGGUUCAAAGGCCCUGUCCCCAUUUUUCACGUCUAUUUCUGCCUCUGACUUGGAUGGACUUUGUCUCUUAAAAAGCAAAAACAAACAAACAAACAAAAAGCAAAAUAAAACACUGCAGAAAACUUAGAGAAAAACGACCAGGUGCAGUGGCUUAUGCCUGUAAUCCCUACACUUUGUUAGGCUGAGGUGGGUGGAUUAACUGAGGUCAGGAGUUCCAGACCAGUCUGGAAAACAUGGUAAAACCCCAUCGCUACUAAAAAUAGAAAAAUUAGCAUGUAGUCCCAGCUAUUCGGGAGGCUGAGGCACAAGAAUUGCUUGAAACUGGGAGGAGGAGGUUGCAGUGAGCUAAGAUCACACCACUGCACUCCAGCCCAUGGCGACAGAUUGAGACUCCAUCUAAAAUUAAAAAAAAGAAAAAGAAAAAGAAACUUUAGAGAAAACACCAAAAAACACCGAAGUAACCAACAUUACCUGUAUUCCCAUAGUCAGAGAUAACUAUUGUAUGCUUUCCUUCUAGGUUUUAAAAUGUAGUAAAAGUCUCCAUGUGUAUGUUUGAGCUUAAUUGUGUGUGUGUGUGUGUGUGUGUGUGUGUGUGUGUAUCAUUUAGAAUCCUGAUUUUUUUUUUUUUGAGACAGAGUUUUUGCUCUUGUCACCCAGUGCAGUGGUGCACGAUCUCGGCUCACUGCAACCUCCAUCUCCCUGGUUCAGGCGAUUCUCCUGCCUCAGCCUCCCAAGUAGUUGGGACUACUGGCAUGUGUCGCCACACCCGGCUAAUUUUUUUUUGUAUUUUAUUUUUAGUGGUGACAGGGUUUCACCAUGUUGGCCAGAAUGGUCUCGAUCUCUUGACCUGGUGAUCCACCCGCCUAGGCCUCCCAAAGCCCUGGGAUUACAGGCAUGAGCCACCAGACCUUGAAAGAAUCCUGAUUUUAUGACUCAAUAUUUUGUCUUGAAUAUUUCCCCAUGACAUUGAUAACUGGCAAGAGAGAAUUCUAAUGUGUGGUUGUAUCAGAAUUACAAUAUUUGAUCAACCCUUCACUACUGUAAUUUGAGUUAAAAUCACUGUUUUUUCCAAACGUAAAACACACUGUGAUGCAAUCCUGUUCACAGACCUUUCGCUACAUCCCAGAUUGAUUGUCUUUGAAUGAAUUCCUGGGAAUGAAAUUACUAGGUUAAAUGACAUCAACUUUUACAAGACUCUCUAUACCUAUUGCCAGUUGUCUGUUAUUGCCAAUCUAGGCUUUGCUCAUGUGAACCAGCAGGGUGCCCUUGUCUUCUGGACACAGUGAUAUGUGUCAUAUGUAUAGCUCUCCCCUGAGAACUUGCCUGGGACCUAAUCCUUGGAGUGUGAUAUUUAUCAUUCACGUUCCUGCAGCGUCUGAUGCCAUCCCUGGAGAGCCCCAUGGUAAAAGCAAUGGAAUGAAUUAUUGCCUACAUCUCCUUGAGUUAGGGCCCGGCAGAGAGUGAGGAUUCAGUAUCUCCUUUCGACCACACUCCCUCUGCAGGCAGAUCCCUGAGACUGAGAGGAAAGGAUGAGAGAACUGAAGGAUGCCUUGGAGUUGAGUGGACAGCUGAUAAUGAGUGAGUCUUUUCAAAAACCUCCUGAGUGGCAGUUAAGCUCAAGCCAUGCAGUGCCACCCAACAAUGCACCCAGGUCAACCGAAGUGAUGGCAAUAAGAGCACUUUUUAUCAAUGUCACAGUCGUGGCCUAGCCAAUAGCCUUUGUAAGAUAGACUCCACGUUCAAAGAUAUUCAAUAGGACAACGGUGGACAUUACACCUGAAGAAAUACCUUUCCUGCACCAGGAGGUGAGUGCUUGUCAUUUGUGUCUGCUACGCUGUGCCCAGCGCCUAGCACAAUGUUGGCAUUAAGAAGGUGCUGGAUACAUAUGUGUCGAGUAAAGGAGAAAGCGAUACAAUUCUGCACGCGAUCAUUGUAUGAACACUGGAGCUGGUUAAAGUCUUAUGGGAAUAAAAUACUAUAUAAAUAGCUUCUUUUUCUAACCUCUUUUUUUAAUGAUCCAAUAGAACCAAUGGUAUAAAAACCCGUUUCUUCUAAAUUUGUUUAGUUGGUGAUACCAGUUCUAAGAAUUAAAAAUUUGGUAAAUAUAAUAAUAGACAUCCAUUGACAGCACUCCUUUCAUAUUAUGUAAUUUUGAAUAACAGUUGUCUGAGUACAGACAUGAAAUAACUAGUAAUAGGGACAGAAGUGAUUCUUGGUCACCAAGCAGGGUAGAUUUGGGGGUACAGGAAACAAUUUCAUCCAUGUAAAUAAUGUGACGAAACCCCGAGUAUACACAGUGUGGCCGUUAUACUUUAGCAAGGCAUGAAAGAAUAUGGACUGUGUUGGUGAUAUGGGCAGUGAAUUUUGCAGGGAACAGUGGAAAAACAUAUGCCCAGAACAACUAUCAGGUUAGCACAUGGUCAUUUAAUCCUCACAGAAAUUCUUGGAGCGGAUAGCACUGGUUCAUUUUGCAAAUGGGGAACCUGAGACUCGGAGAGAGUAACCUGCCUGUAGCCAGUAGGUCGUUGCUCCAGGAUUCCAGUCUGAGUCUUCCUGAUUCUACAGCUUUUCCAGCCACUCUACGCUUACGCAGAAAACCUGAGAGCUUCGGAACAUCUGCUAGGAGUUAACGACCGCUUCGGAAGACUGGGACCAGCCCUGGAAUUGUCAUGGAGAAUGCGGCUCAUCAUCUGAGGAGGAGUCAAGCUGGUGAACUUGACCGAUUCUAUUCGAUCUAAACCAUUCACAGGGGAUGGAUAUAACUCAACAGUGAGGAGAAUGUGCGGAGUUGGGUACAACAGCAAGAGAGAAUUCUGAUGACACGUCCCCGCCGUUCCCUGCCCACAAACCCUUCGUUCUGCUUCAUUUCGCUCAGUUUUGUUCCUUCACUCUUUCAGCGGUUGUUCAAUUUUGAGCUACUGCACAAGGUCUGCUUUGAUACAGGACAAAUAGUUGGGAUGUUGUGAAUGAGGGAGCUUUGUCUACAAGUGUUACCCAGCAGAGAGUCUGGGUGAGAAGCCUGGGAGUGAGGAAAGGAGGAUGUAGAGAAGAAUGCUAAAAAAAAAAAAGUAGCAGGAGUGAAGGGUGGAGAAACCCAAAGCCUUCUCAUCACAGUCAGGUUCUUCCCGCACAGUGCUGGAGAGGGGAGAAGGACAUGAAUGGGAGGAAAAGGUCUCAAAACAAACAAACAAAAAAAACCUGGGACGAAUGAGAACCUCGUGGGGAGCUAUGUCGGCCGUAGGGGACUCCCCCUCAGCCCUGGCACUGAGUUUGGGGAUACAGGUUUGUUUCAGAGCGGAGUCGAUACAUCCAAAAUGUCCCCAUAUUAAUGGAUUUGUUAAGUUCAUAUACCAAUAAAGGGAUGGGGAGUCGGCCUGCAGGAGAGGAAAAGAGCCAGCUGGGAAAGGCAUUUCGUAUUUUAUCAAAGUAUGCGGGUAAGUGAUCUCUCCCCCUCCAAAAUGACCUCGGGGAGUAAAACUCGUGUUGGGGUCACUUGUCACGAGAGGAACUGGACUGGACCAAUCCUGCAGUAUUGGAUGAUUGGCUUAAUUUGACUAUGGUGUGGCCGUUGUUGGGGCUCAGCAACUGUUACCCCAAAAUAUGGUGCUUUGACAUGCUGAGCUAAGGAAGAGCCUCAGGGUCUCUCUGGUCUUCACCCCCACCCCCUACCCCCAGCCCCAUCCCUCCCAAAGCUCUGGAUGAAGUUGUUCUCUUUAAUCCUUAUCUGCCUGAAGUCUGGACCCACCAAAAAGAAAACAGUUACCUCUAGUCUCCUCCCUGAGUUUUCAUCAACUCAACUCAUCUCACAGGAAGAAACACUGACGUCUGUCGACACACCUGGACAGCUUUUUGUCACGAGCCAUUGGUGCCAUUCGGUAUUUUAAAGAGAUUCAUUUGUGAGCCAUCGUUUGCUCUGUGGUCCCAACAGACUGUUUGAGGUCACAGUAAGUUCUACAAGUCCACUUAUCUCCCCCCAAAAAUAAUUUACCAUCCCUCACAUUGCCACAUUUCCUCCAUCUCCCCUUCCCCUGUGAAGAAGGGUUAUUGGGUAAUUGUUCUCUAUGGAUCCUCAGUGCUAUGCUUGUUAAAAUAAAUUCAUAUGCCAUUUCUUUUACUAA